UGGGGGAGGAGCAGUCGCCGCGCGUUAGUCGGGGAUCGGUGCGGGUCCUGGUUCUUAUGAGCCAUGUUUUAUGAAGAAAGACCUGUUUUAUGAAGAAAGCAGAAAUAAUCAUGGAAAGUGCCAGAUUUUGAGGAAUUUCAUCAUUUACUCAAAAGAGUAACUUUUGACACCUGUAAAAAGGUAUUCUUUCUUCCAGAAUCCAUUUAAGUCAGAAUUUUGCUAAAUUUGCUUAGUAAAUUUAAUAUUUAACACAUUGAAAAGACUUUACAUGUAUGAAUAUUGGUUUAAUAUGUAAUUUAAAGGCAAUGUGGGUCUCCAUAUUGUUUCAUGCUUUGGCCCUUAAAAAAACAAAAUGUUCUCUCUGUCAUUUUUUUAAAGGUUUAACUUUUUUAUUGAAAUAUUUUGCAUUUUAUAGUGCCUUUCUUAGAAUUCUAAAACUUCAAAGAGACUUUUAGCUUUCCCCAAUUACUGUUAUCUUCAUGCCAUAUGUCCAGGUUUUUUAAAAAAGACUUUUGUGAUUAGAACUGUUUAAAAAUUAUUGCAUGAAUUGCCUUGGUGCACAGAGGGGAAAAAAAAGCAUCAGAAAUUAGCAUACAUAUCGGAUCAGAUAAUUAUACAUUCUGCUAUAAAUUCAAUUGUAUAUAAAAGAAUUUUUCAUUUUUCUAACAUGAAAAUAUAUAUAAAAGCUUCUUGGAAUUCCUGUCUGGGUUUGCUCAAUUUUUAAAAUUAACCUUGUCAGUGAAAUUCAGCUGUAUCAUUGCCACCUAGUGGUAAAAUUAACAUUAUUGUUAAGCUGUGUGGUUUUAAAUUUUAAUAUCUAGUAAAAGGUUCACUGUUUUGUGACCUUGAGUGUGAA